UCCCAGACUCCUACGGGAGGCAGCAGUGAGGAAUAUUGGUCAAUGGACGCAAGUCUGAACCAGCCAUGCCGCGUGCAGGAAGACGGCUCUAUGAGUUGUAAACUGCUUUUGUACGAGGGUAAACGCAGAUACGUGUAUCUGUCUGAAAGUAUCGUACGAAUAAGGAUCGGCUAACUCCGUGCCAGCAGCCGCGGUAAUACGGAGGAUUCAAGCGUUAUCCGGAUUUAUUGGGUUUAAAGGGUGCGCAGGCGGUCUGUUAAGUCAGCGGUAAAAUUUCGGGGCUCAACCCCGUCGUGCCGUUGAAACUGGCGUUCUUGAGUGAGCGAGAAGUAUGCGGAAUGCGUGGUGUAGCGGUGAAAUGCAUAGAUAUCACGCAGAACUCCGAUUGCGAAGGCAGCAUACCGGCGCUCAACUGACGCUCAUGCACGAAAGCGUGGGUAUCGAACAGGAUUAGAUACCCCUGUA
rnacentral:rRNA from 1 species